AGUAAAUCUCCGUCUCUCGCUGCUGUUUUCACUGCUUUCAGAAAUGUUUUACAGUCUUCGAAAAAGUCCGCUAGCAUCUGUUUUCAGACGAGGAGUGAUAAUAUAAUCUUUCUACAAAGGAAGAGAAGCUCCAAGAUUUCAAAAUUGCUGAAGGGAGCUGCUGACAGAAAUGCAGAAAACACAGUUAACCAUCAUCUAACAACAGCAUAGAUUAUAUGCUGAUGGCCGUGCAGCAGAGGAGCGCAGAGUCUCUUGUCGGACAACAUCUCUAAGUCGCUAUGUACCAUGUUACUAGAUCCUAUGUACCCAGCCUCAACCAUUCAUCAGAAGGACUGUGAAAGCAGGAACUCUUUGAACCACCAGUGGCAGUUUCCACGGGAUGAAAAAGGGCAUAGUAGUGGAUGAUGAGGUCCUGAGACCAUAUGGGGUGAAGAUCAAGACAACCAAACCAAAGGUGGACUGUAACCUACUGGACUAUAUGAUAGACUUCAUACUGACCACUACUGCCAUGUAUGCAGCAUGAAAAGUUUUUGAAAAAGGUGGCAUUUCCUUCACCAAGUAAAAGUGUGGAGGAUUCAUCUGGCCUUCAUCGGGCCCCCAUGAGGUGACUCGAUGUAGAAUAAAUCAACUUGCUUUAGGCUUGAAAUGACUGAAAUCUUCUCAUGUGAGUUGAUAUCAUUUAAACAUUCUUUAAAGUACUUCUCAUUUCUUGUGAAUGUAUUUUGUAGUAUGUGUAAAACUUUUCCACUGAAAGAACCUUUUUUACCUUUAUUGAUAUUGUAAUCAAGGUUGUUAAUGCUAUGGACUGCACACAUCUGCCUGUGUUGGGCUUGUGUUCACAGGUUGUAUAAAACUAGGCCUGGCUGCAACAACUAAUCGAUAAUGAAAAUAAUCAUCAACGAAUUUGAAUAGUGCAUCAAAACAAACAGACCGCUCAUAAUUCUGACUAAAAUACACAUUUUGUUCAAAUAUUUUUUUGUUAGAAAUUAAGUGUAGGUUUAAAACCCUACAUGUAACACAAGUAAUCAUAUUUAUGAGAGCAGUAACAGUAAAGGCACUAUGGUUGGAACUGUCCAUUAAUAUAAUAUAAUAUAAUUGCUCUGUUCAGACGAAUGAUUGUGUUUAUUCUUCGUACCUCUUACAAGUUAACAUUGUGUUUUUUUGUUUAAAUUGUUUUAAAUUCUGUUUCAAAAUAACAAACAAUCUGUUGUUUUUAGGUUUAGAAUGUAAUGUUUGUAUUUUAAGACUUUAAUGCUUAUAAUGAACAGCAGAGCCUACAUAAGGCAUCUUUACACAGCAAAGGCGGCACAGAAACCAAAUCUGAAGCGGCAUAAAACCACGAAAAUGUGCUUUUACACAGACCGUUUAAUGCUGUUCUGAAGCGGCAUAAAUGCAUUUACACAGGAAUUAAAAUUGCGGGAAACAUAUACC